rnacentral:rRNA from 2 species
AAUCCAUAGGUUAAUGAGGCGAACCGGGGGAACUGAAACAUCUAAGUACCCCGAGGAAAAGAAAUCAACCGAGAUUCCCCCAGUAGCGGCGAGCGAACGGGGAGGAGCCCAGAGCCUGAAUCAGCAUGUGUGUUAGUGGAAGCGUCUGGAAAGGCGCGCGAUACAGGGUGACAGCCCCGUACACAAAAGCGCAUGUGUUGUGAGCUCGAUGAGUAGGGCGGGACACGUGGUAUCCUGUCUGAAUAUGGGGGGACCAUCCUCCAAGGCUAAAUACUCCUGACUGACCGAUAGUGAACCAGUACCGUGAGGGAAAGGCGAAAAGAACCCCGGCGAGGGGAGUGAAAAAGAACCUGAAACCGUGUACGUACAAGCAGUGGGAGCACAGGUUUACCUGUGUGACUGCGUACCUUUUGUAUAAUGGGUCAGCGACUUAU